GACGAACCGUACGAACGUUAUUCGGAAUUACUCGGCUUAAAGGGUGCGUAUGCGGCGCAGUAAGUUGGGUGUGAAAUCCCUCGGCUUAACCGAGGAAUUGCGCCCAAAACUACUGUGCUCGAGGGAGAUAGAGGUGAGCGGAACUUAGGGUGGAGCGGUGAAAUGCGUUGAUAUCCUAAGGAACACCGGUGGCGAAAGCGGCUCACUGGAUCUCUUCUGACGCUGAGGCACGAAAGCUAGGGUAGCAAACGGG
rnacentral:rRNA from 1 species